AUGUGAUUGGGUUGAGGAUCAGUUACCUCAAAAUAUGGCAUCUUGGCAUAUGGAGUAUUUUUUUUUAAAUUUUUUAAUGUUUGUUUAUUUUUGAGAGAGAGAGAGAGAGAGAGGCAGAAAGAGACGGAGACACAGAAUCUGAAGCAAGCUCCAGGCUCUGAGUUGUCAGCACAGAUCCGGAUGCAGGGCUGGAACUCAUAAACUGCGAGAUCCAGACCUGAGCUGAAGUCACAUGCCUAACCGACUGAGCCAACCCAGGCACCCCAGCAUAUGGAGUAUUUUAAGGUGAAAAACUUUAAAAAAAUAGCAGAAGCAAGAAUGUCAAUCUGACCUUCCCAGCCCUUCUCUCCUGAAACAGGUCAUACAACCCUCGUGAAAGAGGUGCCCUCCCAACACCUGGAGGAAAGACGUGUCCUUAUCUCUGAAGACAAAAGGAUGCCAAGGAGAACCUCACAAACCACUUUGUUAAGUUUUGCCAGCACACUGCACUUAUCCCAUACUCCUUAACCUAUCAUAUUUCUAUACAACUGCUCACCCCUUAUCAAACCUAGCAUAAAAUAUUCUGAUCUAACCAUCUCUUGAGGUUUCCAUUCCCUAACGAAGGCCCCUGUGUCAGGCAAAACUCAUAUUAAAUACAUUUGUGUGCUCUUCUGCUGCUUAUCUGUCAUUGUCAAUUUAAUUUUCAAACCCCGUCGGGGCCUGCAAGAGGGUGGAAGAAUACUUUUUCCUCCCCUACACACGUUUAGUCAAAAAAUUUAAACACGUACUGAUACUAUGAGAGAAAUUUUAGUUUUAUAAUAUGUUAUCAGUAAUAUGCAAACUUUCGGGAUUGUUGACAAAUUUAGGAACAUUUCCAUCAGAUUUCUUCAUACAUGAAUGGUCAGAAAGAUUUCUACAGACCAGGCUCUGGUUGCAUGUGUUUCAGCCUGAUUUCUCUCCCUGUAUUUAUGUGAUUUGGGUGGCUAACACAAUAAUGUAUGUUCGAAUCAUAAUAUAAACUCUUGGCGGUCACUUGUGUUCUUACCAGUGACUCAGCACAGUGGCCAAGAUGAAUAUUCCUACAAGCCAUUACUACACAUGGAUGCUUAGCAAUAACUUAACCUUGCCCAGAAAUGACUACAAGCAAUAUCUGUCUCUUCCCCAUCUCUAUCUUUAUCUUUAUUUAGCUGUAUCUAUUAUAUAAUUAUUUAUAUCUAUUAUGUAAUUAUAUCUAGUCAGAUGGAUGGAUGGAGAGAUAGAUAGAGAGAAAUUGAUAUUUAUCCAUAUCCAACUAAAAUCUUUUUUUUUUAAUGUUUAUUUAUUUUUGAGAGGAAGAACAAGUGGGAAAGGGACAGAGAUAGAGAGACAGAGAGAGACAGAGAAGAUCUGAAGCGGGCUCCGUGCUGACAGCAGAGAGCCUGAUGUGGGGCUUGAAUUCACCCACCACGAGAUCAUGACCUGAACAGAAAUGGGUCUUCGUUGUAACCGACUGGGCCACCCAAGCGUCCCCAACCUAAAAUCUUUUUUUUGUUUUUAAUUUUUUUUUAAUGUUUAUUUAUUUUGACAGAGACAGAGAGAGAGCGUGAGAGGCAGAGGGGCAGAGAGAGAAGGAGACACAGAAUCUAAAGCAGGCUCCAGGCUCUGAGUUGUCAGCACAGAGCCCGACAUGGGGCUCGAACUCACGGAGUGCAAGAUCAUGACCUGAGCCGAAGUCAACGGCUUAACUGACUGAGCCACCCAGGCACCCCUCCCACCUAAAAUCUUUUUAGUGUAUUCCCAGUUCAACUUCCCCUGAACCAAGUAUCAAAAAUGCUCUGAGCUGUUGUAAUGUCACUCAACAUGAGCUGAAGUUUUCUGAAGGGUGUGUCAGGGAGGAAAUAGACAGUGAGUGGUCUCAACUCAUUCCUGUUUACAUACAUUAGUUUUGCAAAUUUUAUAAAGACAUAUAAUCAUGUGAACACACUGCUAGGGCUCUUUCCAGACCUUUUGAAGACACCUGUGCAAAUGAAGGGGUCUUGAUGCUUAAAGUCCAUUAGCUUCAGAGUAAGUUGGUGAGAAGAGACAGGAGCAGGAGAGUGUGUCCCCAAAAAUGUGGGAAAUAAAGAGGAAUGUCCCCUGUCAUGUGCACUGUCAACACUAGCUUCUUGGAGUUUCCUUCCUGUUUUCUUUUCCUGUCAGGGCAAGAAAAACCUGCAGUGAGAGGCUGUCCACACAAGAGCAGUGACUCUCAGAUAUUACCACAGCAGCAAAGGUGAAAACCAACAGAUUUGGAGUACACUUUCAUCAAACCUGAGGCCUGGAGGAACAGCAGGUAACAGGGUUGAUGCUCGUAAUCAAAAAGCUUGUAAACUUUUGGCAAUCACCUGUAUUUGAGAGACAUGGUUUGAGGAAAGAAAGGAGGCUGAUAUUUCAGAGACUAUGCUAAUUGGGGCUCAGCCUGUUAUACUUCCAUUACCCACAUCCUUAUGUUUUUCUUCCCUUGGUCAGUGGCCCCAAAAUAUCUGCUACACUUAAACAUUUGUAAUGCAUUUAAGCCACUAGGAUAUUGUUAUCAGUUGACACGCAACUCAAACCCAAUCCAACCUGACGGUAUAGUUCUUUUAUUGUCGGUUUUGUUUGACAAUCUACUACAUUAAUAGACCACAUUUAUCCAGCUUAUAAACAUUUAGGUUGCUUCCUAACUUGUGCUGUGAACAUCCAGAUACACGUGUCCCUGGGCUAACAUACAAGAUAUUCUCUGGGAGACAUACCUAGAAGACAAAUUAUUGGGCUGUAGAAUAUGUACAUCUCCAAUUUUACUUGGUAAUUACAAACUGUUUUUCCAACAUCAUGGCCUCAUGAAACACUUCCACCAACAGUAUAUGAGACCUCCUUUUGCCCUACAUCUUUAUCAACACUUGGCACUGUCAGACUUUUUAAUAUUUCUCAAAUUUAUGAAUGGUUAAUGAUAUCUCUCUGUGGCUUUAGUUUGCCUUUUUGUCUAUCGUGGCAAGCAACUUUUCAUACAUCUUUGACUCUGGGAGUUUUGUCUUUUUGCAAGUGCUUAUUCAGCUCUUUUGAUGAUUUUUCUAUUGACUUAUCUGCCCUUUCUUUAUUGAUUCAUAAAACUUCUUUAUAUUUUCUGAAAACUAGCUCAUACCAGUUUUAUAUGCAGUAAAUAUUUUCUGAUAAGCUUACCUUUUUCUUCUCUUUGAGGUGUCUUUUGAUAAACACAAAUCUUUAACGUUAGUGUAAUUGAAUUAAAAUAUCUUUUCUUUUUCUGUUUUGGUGCUUUCUGGCUGAAAUGAAUGACAAUACUCUGAGUUUAUAAAAAUAUUUCUCUGUAUUUCUAAAAUAUUUAUAGUUUUAUCUCUUUAUAGGCCAUAAUUCACACGGGGAAGUGACAUUUGAAAAUAUAGUAUGAGACAAUCUUGAAAAAGAAGAACAAACUGGAGGUAUCACAAUCCCAGAUAUCAAGAUAUACUACAAAGCUGUAGUAACCAAAACAGUAUGGUAUGGGCACAAAAAUAGACACAUAGAUCAGUGGAACAGAUUAGAGAUUCCAGAAGUAAAUCCAUGAUUAAUAGUCAAUUAAUCUUCAAUAAAGGAGGCAAGAAUAUGCAAUGGGAAAAAAAAUCUCUUCAGCAAGCAGUGUUAGGAAACCUGGACAGCUACAUGCAAAGAAGUGAAACUGGACCACUUUCUUACAUCAUACACAAAAGUAAACUCAAAAUGGAUUCAAGACCUAGAUGUGAUACUUGAAGCCAUAAAAAUUCUAGAAGACAGCACAGGCAGUAAUUUCUCUGACAUCAGCCAUAUCAACAUUUUUUUCUAGAUAUGUCUCCUGAGGCAAAGGAAACAAAAGCAAAACAAACAAAACUACUGAGACUACAUCAAAUUAAAAAGGUUCUGCACAGCAAACAAUCAACAACAUUAAAAGACAACUUACUGAAUGGGAGAAGAUAUUUACAAAUGAUUUAACUGAUAAAAGGCUAAAAUCAAUAUAUAUAUAUAUAUAUAUACAUACGUACAGACACACACACACACACACACACACACACACAUAUAUAUAUAUAUAUAACUAAUACAACUCAACACUCAAAAAAUAAACAACCCAAUUAAAAAUGGGCAGAAAACAUGAAUAGACAUACCUCCAAAAAAGACAUCCAGAUGGCCAGCAGACACAUGAACAGAUGCUCAACAUUGCUCAUCAUCGGGAAAAUGCAAAUUAAAACCACAAGGAGAUAUCUCUUCACAUCUGUCAGAGUGGCUAAAAUAAAAAACACAAGGAACAAGUGUUGGUGAGAAUGUGGAGAAAACAGAAACCUCGUGCACUGUUAGUGGGAAUGCAAAUUGGUGGAGCCAUUGUGGAAAACAGUAUGGAGUUUCCUCAAAAAGUUAAAAAUAAAAAUAUCCUAUUACCCAGUAAUCACACUACUGGGUAUUUACCCCACAAAUACAAAAAUGCAACUAAUUCAAAGGGAUAUAUUCACCCCUAUGUUUAUAAUAGCAUUUUUUACAAUAGCCAAAUUAUGGACACAGCCCAAGUGUCCACCGAUAGAUGAGGGGAUAAAGAAGAGGUGAUUUAUAUUUAUAUAUAAAUAUAUAUUAAAUGGAAUAGGACUCAACCAUAAAAAUGAAAUCUUGCCAUUCACAGCAACAUAGAUGGAUCUAGUGGGUAAAAUGCGUAGUGAAAUAGUCAGAAGAAGACAAAUAGUAUAUGAUCUCACUCAUAUGUGGAAUUUAAGAAACAAAACAAAUGAACAAAAGAAAAAUAGACAAAAAAUUGACUCUUAACUAUAGAGAACAAAGAGAUGGUAAACACAGGGGAUGUAGGUGGAGGGAUGGGUGAAAUAGGUGAAGGGGAUUAAGAGUACACUUAUGAUGAGCUCUGAGUAAUGUAUAGAAUUAUUGACUCACUAAAUUGUGCACUUGAAACUAACAUGGCACUGUAUAUUUACUAUACUGGAAUUAAAAUAUUAAUCAUAGUAACUAAGCAGAAGAUAAAACUGAAAAGAGAAUCAGAUUGAUAAAACACAUAAAGUCAUCUAUAGAAUAAAUUUAAUAAACAUACACCUAAAAAGGGGCUACAUCUAAGACCAAAACUAUAAAACUAAAGGAGAAAACAUAGAGGUAAAUCUUUUUGACCUUGGUUUUGGCAAUAGAUUCUUAGGUAUAACACCAAAAGUGCAAGCAACAAAAGAAAAAAUAAAGUGAUCUUCCUCAAAAUUAAAAACAUUUGUGCAUCAAGGAAUGUUGAUGAAGUGAAAAGACAACCCACAGAUUGGGAGAAAAUAUUUGUGAAUUAUAUAACUGACAAGGGUCUAGUAUCCAGAAUACAUAAAAACAAUCCAAUUUAAAAAUGGGUGAAGAACCUAAACAGACAUUUCCUCAAAGAUGUAUACAAAAUGGCCAAGCAUGUGAAAAGAUACUCAACAUCAUUAGUCAUUAGGGAAGUGCAAAUCAAAACCACAGUGAGAUAUCAUUUCACAUCCACCAGGAAGACCAUAAUUAAAACAAUAAGUUGUGGAAACAUUGGAACCCUCAUACAAGUUGUUAAAAAUGUACAAUGGUGCAGCCAGUUUGGAAAAUGCUUUGGUAGUUCCUCAGAGAGGCAAACAUAAAAUUACCUUAUGACCCAACAUUUCUACUCUUAGCUAUAUACUCAAAAGAACUGAAAACACUCAGCAAGUACUUGUACACAUAUGUUAAUAGUAGCACAAUUUGCAAUAACCAGAAGGAGAAAACAUGCUAAAAGUCUGUAAAGGGAUGAGUAGAUAGACAAAAUAUGAUACAUACAUACAAAAGAAUUGUUCAGCCAUAAAGAGGAAUGUGGUGCUGACAUAUGCUACAACAUGGAUGAACCUUGAAAACAUGCUAAGUGAAACUAGCCAGACGCAAAAAGCCACAUAUUGCAUAUGAAAUAGGCAGAAUAAGUAAAUCCAUAGAGUCAGAAAGCAGAGAGGUGGUUUCCAUGGGAUAGGCUGGGGGGCGGAAAUAGAGGGCGAUUGCUUAUUGAGUAUGAGAUUUUCUUUGGGGGUGAUGAAAAUGUUUUAGAACUUACUAAAGGUGGUGAUUGUACAACGUUGUAAAAAAAAAAAAAAAAGAAAAUAUCGUACAAGGUAGGAAAUCCCACUUUCUCAUUACCAUUCAUUGAAAUUCCAUCAUUUCCCAUUUAAAUGAAAUAAACCUGCUCUUCUCUCUCCCUAGUCCCUUCUCUCCUCUUAUUCCUGUGCUUUUAUGUUUAUAACUGAGGGCCUAGUUGAUAUUACUGCUAUAGUUCUCUUUUCAAACCUAUAAUAGUCGGGUCAAGGAGAGAAUUUCAAACCAUGUACAAUUAAAUCUGAAGGCCUAUAGUAUGCAUUGUGAAAGAACCUGGGUCAUGUAUGGUUUUAUAAAUUUAAAACUUACAAUUAAAAAUUAACAUUAAAAAUUAAAAGAUCAAAUGAUAUAUUUUUAAAUUUUGGACAUUUGAAGUAAAAUACAUAAGAAAAUUAAGGCAGGUUCAUAAUAUUUGUAUUACCAUUUAAUCCAAUUAAAAAUAUUUUGACUAGAAAAACAUUGAGAAUGCAAUUCACAUUUUCCUCUCUGUUUCAUAAUCUCCCUCUUAUCACAAGUAUAUCACAUCUCUUUCUAUGAGUGUCUUUCCACUUUCUGAAUACCCUUCACUACCUCACCCUCUAGAGGUCUCUUUGAAAAAGACUUGCCAUUUUUUUUUCCUGCAGUUGAUGCUUUGACAUAUACAAAAGUUUACUAUGUAUACAGUAUAGUAUAUAUAGUAUAGUUAACUAUACUAUAAUGCUAUAUACUAUAGUAUAUACAAUAAUAUAUACUAUAAUACUAUGUACUAUAGUAUACAAUACUAUAAUUGUAGUAUACAAUACUACAAUAUAUACUAUAUACUAUACAUAUAUAUACUAUAUAUAUACAAUAAUAUAUAUGUUAUACUAUAUAUACAUAUAUAAAUUUUUUUGGAUAUUUUUAUAUCAACAUAUGUGAAGUUUCCAUAUAUGUGUAUGUCCUUCUCUGACCUCUCUAUAUUCAUUUCCAUUAGUCUAUGUGUCUACUCCAGCAUCAACAGCCCAGUAUUUUAGUUAAAAUAGCUGUGUAAUGUCCCUCCCCCUCAUCCUGCCCACAGCACUACAUUAAAAUUUGGGAUAGGGUUACAUUAAAUCUAUAGGUCACUAGAAGACCUGUUGGAAGAUUGAUAUUUGUACAUAUUGAAUCUUCUAAUUCACGGUCACAAAUAUCUCUCCAUAUACUUAUAUGCACUAUGGCAUCUCUCACAAAUAGUUCAAUUUCUCUAUAGAAUUUUGUGCAUCCUUGGUUAGAUUUAUAAGUAGUUCUUAUUAUUUUUCAUGUUAUUUAAAUAGGACAUUUUUCUAAUUUUUUUCCUGUUUGUUGCAGUGGUAUAGAAAUGUAAUGGAGUUUAUAUAUCAUUCUAUAUCCAGUAAACUUACUCAAAUCUCUUAAUAUGAUAGAUUCUUUUGGAUUCUCCAUUUAUUUGUGACUUGUAAGCUUUUCUUGAUUAGUCUAACAGAUAUUUGUAUGUGUUUUUUGUUGCUGUUUAUUUGUCUUUUAAGGAACCAACUUUCUCUGUUGUUGAUCUCUUCUAUGUGUGUUUUCUAUUGAUUUCUGCUGUUUGCUAAUCUAUUUCCUUUCCUCUACUUUCUUUGUAUUUAUUAUGGAUUUUAUUUUUGCCUUUUUUAUACAUUUAAAAAUUAUUCUACUUUUUAGAUGGAUGCUAGACUCAAUAAUUUUUAUUCUUUCAGUUUUUUAAUAUAAAUAUUUAAGACUGUAAGUUUCCUAAAAGAACAGAUUUAGCUGCAUCCUACAAAUUUGGCAUGUAGGAUUUUUAUCAUCCAGUCAAAAUGUUCUCAAUUUUUUUUCCAACUCUUCUUUGACUCAUAGAUUAUAUUUAAUACUAAAUGUGUGAGUUUAUUCCCUUUUUUUUGCUUGUUUGCUUCAUUGUUACUUCUAGUUUCUGACUUAAAUUCACGAGGCAAGAAGAUAUGCCAUGUAUGAUUUCAGUCCUUUGAAAUUUGUUUAAACGUUUUUUAUGGCCCAUCAUAUAGUCAAUUUUGCAAAUAUUCCAUGUGUUUGAAAAAAACUUAUUUUGCAAUUGAUGGAUAUAAUGUUCUCUAUGUGUCAAAGUUUAAUUAUGCUGUAACAUUUUUGUCUGAUUUUUUAAUGUCAGUUAUGAGCAAACUUGAAAUCUUCCACUAUGAUCGCAGAGCUAUUCAUUUCUCCUUCUAGUUCAGUUUUGUGUAGGUAGUUUGAGGUCAUGAUUUAAGCAGAUACAAAAUUAUAUAGGCAAAUAUAUGCAUAUAUAUUUGAGUUGUAACUUUUGUUCCUCUUUCUCCCAAGAAAUUCUUUCAGCCUUAAAAUCUGUUUUGCAUGAAAAUUAAUAUAGCUACACUAGCAUCCUUUUAGUUAAUGUUUGCACAGUGUUUUUCCUAUCUUUUUACUUUCAACUUGUCUGAAUUAUUACAAUAAUUAACAGCAUAUAUUAGAUUAUUUUUUAAAAUUCAAUCUGACAAUCCUCAUCUUUUUACAGGAGCAUUUGGUUUCUUUUUAGUCUAUUCACUGCUGAUAUAUUUGUGUUUAUACCUAAUCUUCUAUUUUUCUUUUUUAUAAUUAAUCAUUUAUUCUUUUCCCAGAACUAGUUUAGAAGCUAUGUAUUCUGUUUAUAUAUUUUUUAAUGUUGUUUUUUUUUUUUUGAGAGAGAGAGAGAGAGGCAGAGAAAGGGAGACAUAGAAUCUGAAGCAGGCUCCAGGCUCUGAGCUGUCAGCACAGAGCCCAACGCAGGGCUAAAACACAUUUACCCCAAGAUUAUGACCUGAGCCCAAGUCGGACGCUUAACUGACUGAGCCACCCAGGCACCCCAUUCUGUUUAUAUUUUUAAAUGUUAUUCUUAAAUUACUACAGGCAUCCUUAACUGAUCGAGUCCAAAUUUAGCCAAUACUUUUAACCUUCUCUGAGAUGUUUUAGAGAUCAUUAAAAUUUUGCUUGAUUUAUUUCUUUCCAUACAUUUAUGCUAUUGUCCUUGUUUAUUUUAAUUUUUAAACUGUAGAGAUAUUACUACUAUUGUAUUCAGUCAGUGAUCUAGCUUUACAUCUUCAUAUGCCACUUUAUUUGCUCCUUAUGUCUGUGUAUAUAGAACUGUCAACUAGGAUUACUUUCCUCUGGUUUGAGGUACAUCUUAUAGACUUGUUUUUAGCAUGGAUAUGUUGGUGGCAGUUUUAGUUUUUGAAAAAUGUCUUUAUUCCACCUUUAUUCUUGAAAGACAUUUUGAUGAGUAUAGAACUAUAGUGUGAUAAAUGUUUUUCAAUAAGCACAUUCCAACUAUCAUUCUAUUUCUUUUUCACUUCCUUGAGCACUGUUGAGAUGAAAGCUACCAGUCUAAAUGCUCCUCCUUUAAAGUUAAUCUUUGCCUCUGACUACUUUUACAAUCUUUUCUUUUAUUUCGGCAUUUGGCAAUUUUACUAUGAAUAUUUUCCUCUACUUUGAAUUUAUUGAGAUUCUUGUAUUUGUGGUUUGGUAUAUUUCAUUUGUUUUAGAAAAUUAUUAGCUAAUAUAUUAUCUUUUUUUUUUGUUCUCCUUUCCCUACUUCUGAAAUUCUGAUUUAAUAUGUCAGAUCAUCUCACUCUCUCUUUCACAUUUUUCAUAUUUUCUAAUUCUUUGUAAAUUUGUGCUACAUUCUGGAUAAUUGCUUUUGAUCUCUGUCUAAUUCACAAAUUCUCUUUUUAGCUGAGUCUAAUCUACUCAAAACUCCAUAUAAUCCACUCUAAAUUCUAUAUGUAUUCACUUUAAAAUUUUGAGUGUAGUAUUUUUCAUUUUCGGAAGUUCUUUUUUUGUGUACAAAUUUACUUGGUCAUUCUUUAAAGUUUUAUAUUCUCUGAACACAAUCUUAAAUUUAUCUCUUAUUUUUAAACCAACUAGACAUUAGUAUUUUAUAUUCUGUGUUUGUAAUGUAAACACUUAAAGUCUUUGUGGAUAUGAUUUCUCUUUCUGAGUUCAUGUUUAUGAUGUCUAGUUUUCAUGAAUAGUUUACAAAGAAAAUGUGAACUGCUUUUUUAAAAGAAAUGUAUUGGGGUGCCUGGGUGGCUCAGUUGGUUAAGCAUCUGACUUCAGCUCAGGUCAUGAUCUCUAGGUUUGUGAGUUCAAGCCCUGCUUCAGUCUCUGUGCUGACAGCUCAGAGCCUAGAGCCUGCUUCAGAUUCUGUGUCUCCCCCUCUCUCUGCCCCUCCCAUGCUCAUGCUCUAUCUCUUCCUAUCUCUCAAUAAUAAAUAAAUGUUAAAAAAAAUAAAAGACAUUUAUUUGUAGAAUUAUUUGAGGCCUGGAGUUAAGGCAGUGUCUGUCUGUCUGUAUAUAUGUAUGUACAUAUAUUCCCAAAUAUACUUUGACAGAAAUGUCUGUUCAGAAAACAGACCAUUUAUUACUCACAGAACAUUUUAGCAUCUGUUAACCAUAAACCAGUAUCUAAUAAGGUGAAGUCAUGAUGGCUACAUGUUCACCGAUGCAUGCUGUGGGGUUGUACCACAGGGAAGAAUCUCUGAAAAUAAGGAAGAUUGGAGCUAACACAUCUACCCUUCUUCAUCUCCACAAAAAGAGAGAGAGGAAAAAGAGGAAGAGAAAUCUUUACUCUGAAAAACAGACAAAUUCUCUUUAAGAAGACAGGAAAGGAAUAUUCAGAUUUUUAUCUCCCUGGAAUGAAACAAAUGGCUCCUGGGGAACUAAGUCUCUAAACCUUUCUAGAACAAUACCAUAUCCAUUGCUUCCAAGGCAAGUUUGGUAUUCAAUCAUCCAUUAGCCAUAUUACCAGUGUUCCUAACCCAUCCAUUUCUCCUUAUUCACAGAAUAGACUACACUUACUUGGUUUGGUCUUGUUUUCCCUCAAACUUCUUCAAAACCAUUCUAUCACUCUCUUGCUUUUGUACCCAGUUAGGCUGUCCUGCAUAGAACCUUUGCUGUGACUUUCCCUCUGGCUGGAAUGUACUUCCUCCAGGCUCCAUGCCCGCUUAUUUAGCUCUGACUGUUCAGCCAUUAUGUACUUAGGAAUGCUUUCCCAGACCUCUAUCUCCUAUAAAAUCUUUCUGUUAAGAGACCUUCAAGGCAACACCCACUUGUCAAAAUUGUAAUUGUAUAUUUGUCUGUUUUUAUUUAUUGGCUGUCUUCAUUCUAGGCCUAAGUUUUAUUAGGGUAGAACCAUGUCUGUUGGACUCGCCAUGACUUCUAGUCCUCAAGGUCUUGUGCAACACUACUGCCUGGAUCAUUGUAGGUUUUCAAAAAUAUUCAUUGAAUAAAUAAAAAAAUUACAUACAAUGCUGAGUAUAUCUCAUACAUUAUAAUGAUUAAAUCCUGUGAAGUGAGUUAUUAUAUAAGCCACAAUUGUGAGAUAGCCAAAGAAAGAUUUUAAGUAUAUAGAGAAUAUUACCUAAGAUACUUUUGUGUUAAAUUUAACAGACUACUGGGACAGUGAGAGGUUACAGUUCAAAAAGCCCACAAAGAUUUUUUUUGAAAAGUCAGUCUACUUUAAUAAUGUAUGAUGUUUUUGGAUGACUUAGCUUAUGCAGUUAAUUCUAAUAAAAGCUAAUGUGACAUGAUAAAGGGAUAUACAAAUGGUGGUGUUUCAGGUGAUGUAAUUCCUCAAAAGAGUAGCAUCAUAACAAAGUUGCUCUCUAAUACUCUAAGCAGAGGAUAGAACUAGGGAAGGACCACGACUUCCUUGAUGAUGUAUGUUCCCUAAAGAGGUAUAUUAGCCAUAAGAGUAGUAGAGAGUAAUCAUUAAGAGCAUGGACUUUAGGAUCAGGCCUGACUUCAUAUUUAGGCUCACUCACCUUUAGCUUUGUGGUCUUUGGAAAGUUACAUAAGUUCUAUAAGCCCUACUUGACAUAAGAGUCAAAUGGAAUUAAUGGUAAUACCAAUCUCAUAAAGUUUUGGUAAAAAUACAAUUAACUCAUAUAACGUACAUAGCAUAGUGCCUCCUAAAUGGUAGACUACUUAUAAAUGUUAGCUAUUCUUGUUAUUUGGCCAGUGAUAUGUCUGAAUUUUUGCAUUUAGAAGUCAUGCAUAUGCAGUGUGGAAAUUGGAGCUACAGUAUUCCUAGUUAUUUCUUUUUAUAGAUCAAACUUAAAGUGCAUUAGACUUGAAGUCAGAACACUUGUAUUUGAAUCCAACUCACUAACUGUGACCAUGGGCACAGCCUAAAUCUUAACAACUACAUCAAUCAUGUGAGGUAUGGUAACAUCUAUCUCAGAGGAUUGUUUUACACUUAUGAAAUAUAAUCUUUAAAGUAACUGCCCCACCCCGAUCUGCCAGGUUUCCUUUUUAUCAUUUUGUUCACAGACAAAUGUAGUGAGAUAUUACUUAGAAAUAUUAAUUUUGUCCUAAUCUCUUCCUGGUUGGAAUUGGUCAGAGGCAUUCAUUACUUUGAAGAGAAUUAGAAUUGUAAAUAUUAAGAAGCAUUUAGAGAAAAAACAAAAAAACAAAAACAACUGACAUUUCUUCCAGAAUAGGCUUUUGGAUCCAUCAUCAAAAGCAGUAAUUUUGAAAACAAUAUUUUUUUUUAAUUUAGAAGACUCAGUUUUUCUAUGGAAAGAAGAAAAGGUUCUUAAGAUCAAGAAGAGGGCUCUGAAAGAAGCAGAACAUAGAGUAUAUGCCAUGAUAAUAAGUUAGAAAUAAAGUAACGAACUCCUUGGUCUUCCUACCCUUGAUGGUGGUGGUAGUGGUCAUUAAUUUCGGGGUGAGUUGUGUGGUUACUCAGUGAGGACCACUGAGAAAGAAAGGAGGGAAGGGAAUGGAUGAGGCUAGCAAAUCAGCAUCAAGAGAACCACUAUCACUCUAGUUUUUCAACCUCAAUUUGAUGUGAAAGAGCAAGUUGAUUCCCGUGAUGCUCUGUUGCCAUUUUGGUGGCCACCACGUGUCACUUGUGUUGAGGAGCCCUGUUAGCUGCUGCUCAUGUAGUUGUUAAGGGAGAGUCUUGCAUUCACAGGUGCCUGCAUGUUGUCUGUGGAUUCUUCAGCAGAAAAGACAUCUGUUCAUUGCCCAAGAUUUUGCUGACUGUCAUCCAAAGCAAUCCCAUUAUGAACAGGUCAUCCAAUUUUUAAUGGCUGGGACAUUUUGUGAACACUGAAAACAGCAAAACCACAUACCACUUUCCCAAUGGCCCUCUCUAACAUAGUACCAAACACUUUGAUCUCCAUCUUCUUAUCAAGGAAGAGCUGGAAUUUGCCUUUAUCUUGGACACUCCUGAAGGCUGAUAAAGAGUGCAUGGAGCUUUGUAAAGAAAAGAGAACCAGGCAUUCCAAAGUGCCCAGAUGGCAAUCAAAGAAUAUAGGUCAAUUGCUACACAUGUCCACUGGCAAGAAUAUGACCCUAUUGGGGACCAGGAGCUCAAACUGCACAGAAUCCAGAGUUGUGGGAAGACCAGCAGGCUGGAGACUCAGAGAAAAGUUGACGGUGCAGUGUUGAGUCCAAAGACUGUCUAUAGGAAGAAUUCUAUAAACACUGAAGAAGACUUCAGUGUUUUCUCUUGAUGCCUUCUGCUGAAUGGAUGAGGCCCAUCAACAUUAAGGAAGGGACACUUAGGUAUCAAAGGCAUUGCAGAAAGCACUGUACUUCACUAUCUCAAUGUAUCUUAAGACUUCAAAAGAUACAAGGUUUCCCUCCAUCAAGGUUAAGUACAUCUCGAAGUCUCCAUGUUCAGUGAGAGAGACAGAGCAUGAACGGGGGAGGGGCAGAGAGAGAGGGAGACACAGAAUCGGAAGCAGGCUCCAGGCUCUGAGCCAUCAGCCCAGAGCCCGACGUGGGGCUCGAACUCACGGACCGUGAGAUCGAGUCCUGAGCUGAAGUCGGACGCUUAACCGACUGAGCCCCCCAGGCGCCCCAUUAACAAACUAUUCUUAACAGGUAACUGUUCUUAAAAGGUAAAUUUCUAGGUUCCAUAGCAGGCCAUUAAAGGAGAUAGUAUAAAGCAAGAAGCUUUCCAAGCAACUCUUAAAUCAUAUAUUUAACCUACUUGCAUGGUGGAGAAAAUUUAAGAGAAGAUGUAGAGGAAGAUGCACAAUAAAUGGAUGAAGUGAAUGUUACACAAAUUAACUAACAGUAAAGCAAAAUAGAAGUGAUAAAGUAAUAGAAAAAAAAAACAAGGAAAAUAAAGUGGGGUUGCUUUGGAGACAACCGAAGCUAAGGGGAUGAUAAGUUAUUUCAAUGAAUUGUCCUGGGUUCAAAUGCCAGUUUCAUGGCUUACUGACUAUGUGACUGUAACUUACAAGUUUCAUCUGUAAAGUGGGUAUAAAAAUACUAUUUACUUUAUAGGUCAUGAAAAUUAUGUAAAAGAAUCUGUGUAAAAAUACUUCUCAUGCAGCCUGGCACCUAGUGAAUGCUCGAUAGUGGUUAUCAUGAAACACUUAAUGCGGUAGAAAUGCAAAGUAACAUUUCUCUCAUCACACUAUUCUUCCUACUUUAAUCUAUCGAAUGCCAUAAACAAGAAAAGCUUUCAUGAUUAAUAUUUUCCUGUUUUGUUUUUUUUUCCUGACUGGUAGCCUCUAGAGAAAAGGUUUUUUUCCCUCUUUGGUAAAAUGGGUACUUUCUCUGGUAAAUGAUUUCUUUUGCCCCAGAGUGAUUUGGCUUCAGAUCGUAGUAUGAUUAAAAAUUUAAAUCCAAGAGUCUAUGAUAAUAAUUAAGCAAGGGCUGUGUGUAUUUUGCUUCAGGGCAAGUGUCAUGCCCACCAACAAUCUACCAGUUGUUGGAAUUACAGUGUAGAGUAAGGUUCCUUCCUGAGCCAUGGAGUUUGUAUGCCCUGGCUUCCUACUCACAGGCACUCACAGGCAUUACCCUGACAUAUAAUUUCAACAGUUUAGAACCUGAACCUAAUAGUUACGCAUUUCUGCUCAAAUGACAGUCAGUCCCGUGUUCCUGAGUCAGUACAAGGCUUUAUGUAGUGACUGUGACACCGAGCAGCCUUCCAUCUUGGGGCCCCUCUAUAUCCUACAGCUUUGUAGUCCUCUCGGGUGUAAUGUGUUGCAAUUCAAUAAAUUGUUGGAUAACCUCUACAAAUAAAGAGAAGGGAAUUCUCAAAGAGAAAGUCCUUUUGCUUUCCAAUCUGCCUGCUUUCUAAGAACCCAUGCCUCAUUUCCCCCUGUGCACAUGUUUACCUGACACCAGCAGGGCUGUGUGUUCCACAGACUUGGAACAGCAAACUAGAAAUACCGUACUCUGUACCAAGACUGCCUCUCGGCAAAGAAUGGUGUGUAUGAGCAGCCCGUUUUCCAGAUGCAUCCUAGAUUUGAGACUCUGUCUAGGUCAAGCAUAAUGAUUCUGAUGAAAAGUGAAGGAUUCUACUGUAUGUAAUUGGACUUUGACAGAACAGUUUUGCAUAAAGAGAAGGUUAUUAUUGAAACUUGGCCAUGACAAAGAAACUGGUACAGCUUACUUUUGUCAUCUAGUCUUAAAUUCAUCAACCUUGGUUUAAGAACGGUUUUGAUACCACAGUGAAGAAGAAAAGAUUUCUAGUUUGAGGUCAUUAGACAUGAACCGCUUGAACGAAAGAAAAAUGAGUCGUCUAAAAUGGCUACAGCAGAGGAUAUUGUUUGUAUCAGCAUGGAACAGAAUGAGCCGCCUCAGAAAACUACAAGAAUCCCAAUUAGACAAAUUUUUCCUCUAGAUGGAAACUGGUAACAAAGAUAAAGGAGUCCAAUAACGAACUCUUUAUUUUUCUUUCUCUUGACACACCCCCUCUUUUGUAUCAGGCACUAAAAAACAUGCCUGCCCUAAAAUCUUGAAUAUUGAGCAUUUUUAUGUUUCCUCCCUUUUUUCUAAGAAUUUAACAUUUCCCACAAUUUUGUAGCACUGAUAACUAUCACUCCUGUCCCCUGAUAAUCUCAGUUCCAUGCAACUUGUAAAAGGCAGUCUGACCCUGAGACUUCAUAGUGGGUGGCAGAUGGCUUUCGUGAAUGCCUAUUUCUGCUAUUAAAAUAAAAUGACAGGAAACAUCACAGAGAAGUUUCUUUUAUUUGAAAAAAAAAUGAGGGUUGUCAUAUGAUGUGAAAUACAAAUCUAAGGGCUUUGGCAGUCACUAACCUCACGUAGCAUGGUUAUCACUGGAAGGUAAAUGUAACAUCCACCUUCAGGUCUCCGUGAAAGAUGCAUUGUGCGAAAGGCAAGACAGUGCUUUCUGGCCCAGUACUUACACGUGUAGCAAUUUAUUAUAUGAAAAUGCACAGUGCAACUCAGACAACUUGUGAGCACUUAUUGAAGUUGCCAGGCAAAAAUAUUUUCCUCCAUGCUACAUUAGCAUUUUCUGGUUUAGACCAGCUGAUCUUUUUGAAUCGGGCUGCAUGAAUCAUCACAUCCAGUAUGUAAAUUUCAUACGUAUAUUUAAAUAUUUUUCCUUUCAAAUUGGAACCAGAAUUCAUAUUAUAGCCAAUAUAGUCUGGAAAAAAAAUAAAAAGUCAGGUUGCUGUCCUUUGUUCCCUCCACACAUCUAAAAAUUCUAAGAGUCUACAAGCUUAAUGUGGAGAGCAUCAGGGAUGUUUUCAAUAGUCAAGAGUGUCACUCAUUCUACUUUUUCAAAGUUCUUAGUUCCCAUUAAUAAUUUUAUAUACCAUAAUCAUUCACCUUGAACAUUUGCUAAUACGUUUAAAAUGCCAUUCUCUACUUAAUUGUUUCCAACAAGCGCUUUUAUUGAACAUCCACCAGGCAAAAAUGUACCAUUUCGAGUGUUCUGGAACCUCCUGCUUUCGUUUAUUAAUAACUCCCAAACAGAAUGUCUGCUUUAGACAUUAGUUUCCGAAAUAGAAUCGAAUCUUAAUUAGUUCAAGAGAAACUCUACUUAAGUAGUCUUAGAGAAAAUGCGCUAAUUUCCCCUCUAAUAUAUCCUCCUGUUGUUUGACUGUGAUGAGAAUGGUCUUUUAAAAGAGGCCUCAGGUGUGAAACCAACUGUUCAGGCUCAUUGUCAGCUGCUGGUUUCUAGAGUAUUAAUUCAAAAUUAGUGAAAAUAUAAGACUAUGUCUACAUUGGCCAACUCUAUUGCAAAAUUGAGCAAUUUUCAGUCAAGGGUGCAGCAUCCUCUACAAUGCCCUUGAGGAAGAUUCAGAAGCUCAUUCUAUUUCCAUCUGCUUCCAUCAUUAGAGAAUGCAGUUGAUUGAUUCAACCUCACUAACAAUAAGAACGGAUGCUGUUUAACUAAAAGGUGCCAUUCUAGAAUUUCAUGGAUUCACCUGUUGUCCCCUAGUAGGUCUAUGAUAAUCUGAGAAAGCAGCUAGACCGGACCCUUGCAAGAGGGUUUGUGUCCUACAUAUUGAAGACUGAAGAGGACUCUGUUAAGAAUGCCAGCUCCCAAGUAAAAUAUGGGCAAAAUUGGUUGGAGUUGAAGUCUUCCUUGUAAAGAGGUGCUGCACAUUUGAGAAGUCAGCACCACACAGAUCCUCAGACCAGGCUACCUUCAUCGAUUAUGCAGUCCGUAACUCUGCCUCAAAUAAAAUCAACAGGAAUUUCUUUUAGGCUUUAUAAAUAACUGAAAACAAAGCUUAAACUUAGCCUUGGAUGAUGAAACUAUUUUUUUUCUAAAAGCUUCUUUGUGGCCACACACACACACACACACACACACACAUUAUAAAAAAUGGAAGAAAAAAGUUGUUUUAUAUUUCUGCUUACACAGAAAUCAUAUUAUUGUACAGAGUAAAACAGUAAACUUAACUUUGGGGCUCAAUUGAGACUUGUUUAAUUGAUUGUUCAGAAUACAGAUAUUCAAGAAUAUUACAGAAAGUUUCAUUAUAAUUUACUAAUCAAAAUACUAUUUUUUGGUCAUUUUUGUUUGUUUGUUUGUUUUGGCCAAAUACAAAAUGGCCAUUAUUCUAGUACAAAAGGAAAUGUUUGGGGGAGUUUACUGAACACAAAAAAAUCAAGUGAUUACUAGAGUUAUUUGAGCUUAUAGCUGUCCUUCAGUUGAGAUUUCCAGAAAUAUCUGCCAUAAAUUUUAUUCUGCAUUUUAGAUUAAGAAGGCAGUGUUUAUUUCUGAUAGGGUCAAUGUAUUUGCAGAAAAGGAAAGAAAAUCUCUAUAUAACACUUAGGUUAAGUUUGCUAUUUUGAGCAAUAAAUGUCGAUGUUAUAAUAACAUAAUUUUUCUCCAUAAUACUAACCUUUUGAGAAAAGAAAAGCCUUCUUGUUGUUAAGCUGAUCAGUUCUGUCUGGGUAAACAGGACUUAAUCAUGUAGCAAUUACUUGUUUCAGGAAGACUCUCUGUUAUUUGUGUUGUGUUAAUCCACAUCAAAAUAAAAUAGCCUUGGAUAGGUAACUUUGUGACUUAGACUGACAUAGAUGAUGAUUAAGAGUGUCUAAAAACCUCAUUUAUGGCUCGAUUUUAAAGAGCUAAUUGAAUCACUAUACAUUUAAAUAUAGUCCUUUGAAGAUUUUUGGCAAUCACUUCUAGAAAAAAAUAACUGGUUGCAUUUUUUAAAAUUACCUGAAAAAUAAUAGCAAAAUUCAAUAAUGGACUGAAAAAAUAAUCAAUUACUUGAAAGCUACCUAUUUUUUUCCAAAUUACAAUUAUGUACUAAGAUCCUGAGUUUGGGGGAUCAUUUUAAGUAAAAUUUCUACCAACCUCCCUUUAUUUGAGAACAUUUCUAAACUAAAAACAAUUAAGUUUUGAGAUCCAUUUAAUUUUUACUUCUUUUAAGUACCAGCAUAAACAUCUGCCAUCUGGCAUAGAAAUUAACUCAUAUGGUGGGAGGAGAGAUGAGAUUUAUUUAAAAGUUCUUUGUCUUUGAUACUUUUCCCUACUGCAUUUUCCACUAGUAUAAUUUGAACCUGACUGUAUUUAAAUAACCAUUUAUCGCCAUAAUGGAAGAGCAGACUUAAAAAUACAUAACUGCUGUCAUUCCAGGAGACCGUAUUAAGGAAACAUAGAAUUUGCCAUUCUAGAUCAGACCAUUUGUCUGUCUUGUCUAACACUUGCCUCUGGCGGUGGCCAAUAUUGAAGACAAUGGAGAACAGCAGAAUUAUGCAAUGUGAGCACAAGCCAUUUUUUAGGGGAAUAAUUAUUUUCUCAGUUGGUAAUCUUAGACUAUGGAAUAUUAGAAUUGAAACACCCCCAUCUGUUUACAUUAUUAAUAUUUUUAUCAAUCAAUAAACUAACCAGUUCUGUUAAAAUUAUUGUACUGAAUUAUACUUAAUAAUCUGUAUGGUAUUUCUGUAUUUCUGUAUAUGAAAUAAUCUUAUUGCACUAACACUGGGUAUUUUAAUGCUAUGAUUUUUGAGCAUGAGGAAAAUAUGAGGACUUUCAGCUACAAAGCAAAAAAAAAGUGCCAUUUAAUUUCAGUGAAUAGUGCAGAGUAUACAUAAAGAUGUAUUUACAACAAAAGUUCAGCUUUCAGGUCCAGAAAUUUAACAUUAUCUAAUUUUAUAGAAAAGUUACUAUAGAUAGUAGCAGAAAAAUCUUAUUCUGAGUGAUUAAUGAAUUGACCAGAAUAUAGACCUACAUAUUUUAAUCUUCCUUGACAACUCACUAAUGUUGUUGAAGAAAGUGCUAUGGAGGCAUCUUGAUCCAUCUCUGAAGUUAUAGGCAGAUGCAACAAACAGAAUACUUACCAACUGUAGACCUCAAACACACUCAUACACGAUCUCUCCAAUGCGCCAAUCAUCAACUUCCUGGUGUUCCCCAAACCCAUUACUUGCCUUCACCUUACCCUCUGCUAAUCCCUUCCUUACCUCUCCCCAAGUGAAUAUACAUGACUUUCCUCUGAGAUUAUAUACAUUAUGCACAUUCUUGCAUAAACUGCUAUAAUCCCUCAAGGAAUUAUAAAUGCAUAAAAUGUGUGUACUCUGUCAGUCAACUCUUCAUUUGGCCAAUAAAAUAUAUUUAUAAAACAGCUUUUUUUCUGAUCUUCACAAUCAGAAAUAAAAAAUUGAGGGUCAAAAGUGAAUAUUUGUUAAUUAGCAGUACUGACCAAACGACAAGUCCCACUAAUGAUGGCACCACCUGUUUUGAACAAGACCUCCUUAAUGUUCAGAAAUCAGGAGUUUUAAAUAAUUUGGGUAAACACCUGCACACCUGGGUACUUGGCUGAGCUGAAAAAUGGUGAGUGUUAGUGGCUGAAGUUAGUAUCAGACAUCAUUUCCACCCUCCAAAGUGCUGAUAUAUCAGCUACUAAUUUAAUAAACUCUUUUUCCUGAAAUGACAAAUUCCUUUGGAGAUAUUUUUUUUCAAUAUUUGUUGUUAUCCAUAUUGAGGGAUAAUAAAAUCAUAUAUGACGAUGAAUGACUAAAGAUAUCCAAAUGAAUAUGCUUAGGUAGUGAAUGAGCUUUUAAAGUGCUCCUUUAAUAGGUAAGUAGUUGAAACAGUUUAUUUCCAUUGGCUUUGUACUUUACUGACAGUAAAAGAAGAGGCUCAAAAAAAAACAACCCAAAAACUCCAAAACAAACCAAAACCAAAUCAGAAAACCUUUUGCCUUCUUCCAAUAAGAGGUGGAAUGCUGAUAUUGAGCCCAGCUCUAAAGACAUCUGGAAAUCCUUGAAUCAGUUCCUUAGCUCCUUGCAUUUUGUAGGUUAGUCUUUCCAUGGAGGCAAAAAGAACUCCUUCAGAGCAAAAAAUUCUUCCAGCAAAAUCAGUCCCUGCCUUUUACAUGGAGCAUAUCCAGUCAGAAAUAAACCUGGCCAAGACUCCAUCCAUAAUUCUACUAGACAAUUUUUAAAUCUGUUAGCCAGAACCUUGACUUUAGUAUAAGGUUUAUAUAUCUCUCCAAGUCAGUGAUUCUCAAAGGGAGCAAUUUUGUCUCCACAUCACUCUUGCCCCAGAACAUUUGUCAAUGUCUGGAGACAUUAUUAUUGUCCCCACCGUGGGGCUGGUACUGGCAUAAAAUGGGUAGCAGUCUGGAAUGCUGCUAGACAUCCUACAUCGUAGAGGGCAUUCCACCCACAAUAAAGAAUUGUCUGGUCCAAAAUGUCAGUAGUGCUGAGGUUAAGAAGCCGUGUUCCAAAUAAAGGGCGUUAGGAACACAACCAGAGAAGGUUAAAAUGUUGGCCCACACAUUUGGGAAUGAGAAUUGCAGGCAUAGACUGGGACUUAAGUUAAACAUAAACAUAUACAAUUCUCAAAGUAAUACACUAGGCUUCUGAUACCCAUUUUUAGUGCUCCUCUCUAAGGAACUAGGAAGAGCCCUUCUAUAUAUUUCUGGUCAGUUCCUCAGUUUUCUGGUGAUGCUGACGUGCCUGUCUCCCACGCAAUUCACUAGGUCAUCUGUGUUUUGUUUGGUCAUGUCCUUGUUUCAUGCUCUGCAUUGCUAUUUGCAAACAAGUCUAAUCACUGAGAAUGCAAUGGCCUCAGAUUAAUUUUAAGCAGCAGCCUUUGUCCUAUUAUUCCUAUGGGAGUUUUGCUUGCUCAGCAGCUCUGUGUCUAAACUGACCAUUCUGUGCCAUACUGAGACAGAGUGAGAGAUUUGUUCUGCAACCUUCCACGGAAAAGAUCACUUCCUGAGGAAGUUCCAUUUGGAAAGGCACCCUUCAUUGACUGUAAAUAUAAACACUAUGACAUUCCUGUACAACAUCAGUAAAAAUCCACUUACUUCUCGACCCCACUUGCUGCAACUACUCAAUUUUUUCCCUCUUUAACCAUUUCAUGCCCAAUAGCAAAAAAGACAAAAUGUCAUAAAGUGACAGAACAUGCAAAGGUAUCUUUGCAGUUCCAGCAGUAGGGAUAUUUCUAAUUUUAAAUUUUUCUAGAGGAUAGGGUGCAUUAAUCAGCUGUCAUUUAUCCUGUUAAUUCUGAACUGAUAGAAGUACCUAUAAAAAAAAGUUUACAGUUGUUGGAAUUCAUUCAAACUUGCUGCAGCUCUUGGAUAUCAACACCAACACAGACUUUCAAAAUUGCUCCAAAGCUGAAUACAUAUCUUCAAUAAACUCUCAAAUGAUUAAGUUUAAAAAUGAGUAUUGUCUCAGACGACUGGUCUGAUUUUCCGUUGUCAUUGCUUUUCUCCUUACUGAACAUGCACAUCAUGUAACCUCUCUAUCCCCUUUCUCUUGCUUUCUAUACUCCUCUGCCACUUUUAUUGCUCGACCAUUCCUGAAGAAAUGACAAAUGGUUAUCUUCAGAUCAUGUUUGAAUGAGAGUAAUAAUAAUAAUAAUAAUAAUAAUGAUACAAAAAUACAAAUUCAGAGAAGAUGUGUUUGAUUCAGAAGCCUGCGUAUUUGUGCAUGGUGUGAAAGGUGUCCUAAGAAGGUAUUAAUCUUAUUUUCUCCUUUCAUUUUACAUGAAAGCUGUCAUUAUUGGGAUAAGAAUAAAAUGAACAUAAGUAUGAUAAAUGAUAAGCGCACAUGGAAGUCAAUAUACCACUCUGAGAGAGCAUUGCUAAUCAACCAGUGCAGUAGGCUAAUGCACCAUGUGAACAAGCACCUCAGAGAGAUUCUAAAUUUGUAACUCAGGGAAGCUUGGCAUUUAACUUGAGCUGCUUUUGGCUUAAGGUGAAACAAAGGGUACAAUCAUGUUCCAUUUGUGGAUUACAGUAGCAAAUCAUGUUUCAGAAGGUGCCUUUGCAAGACAAUGUAAAACAGAAGACCAAUUCUAUAUCCCUAACAGGGCCUAGUAUAUACGUGAGUUGUUCAACGAAUGUUAAAUAAUGUUAAUAAAAAUGGGUGAGAGGAAAAAAAUAAGUGAGAGAGUACCACACCUAUUUUUUUUUAAUGAACAGUGAAAAGGAAGAGUAAGAGAAUCAAUUAAUUCUCAGUUUGAAAGCUUUGCCUUAUAAAUUAAAACUGAUGAACAUGAUUUUUAAAAUGCAAGUGCUUGAGUCUCUAUGCUAUUGGGGAUCUGCCAUGUUUUAAUACAGAUUUUUUUUGCCAUUGAAAUUUUUUUUAAUUUUAUUUUUUAAACUAAUACAUCCAAAUUAGUUAGUAUAUAGUGAAACAAUGAUUUCAGAAGUAGAUUCCGUAAAGCCGCUUACCCAUUUAGCCCAUCCCCCCUCCCACAACCCUUCCAGCAACCCUCAGUUUGUUCUCCAUAUUUAGAGUCUCUUCUGUUUUGUCCCCCUCCUUGUUUUUAUAUUAUUUUUGUUUCCCUUCCCUUAUGUUCAUCUGUUUUGUCUCUUAAAGUCCUCAUAGAAGUGAAGUCUUACGAUUUUUGUCUUUCUCUGACUGACUAAUUUCACUUAGCAUAACACCUUCCAGUUCCAUCCACAUAGUUGCAAAUGGCAAGAUUUCAUUCUUUUUGAUUGCCGGGUAAUACUCCAUUGUGUAUAUAUACCACAUCUUCUUUAUCCACUCAUCCAUCGAUGGACAUUUGGGUUCUUUCCAUACUUUGGCUAUUGUUGACAGUGCUGCUAUACACGUGGGAUGCAUGUGUCCCUUUGAAACAGCACACCUGUAUCCCGUGGAUAAAUGCUUAGUAGUGCAAUGCUGGGUCAUA